rnacentral:rRNA from 1 species
ACUGGCAGGCUAGAGUCUUGUAGAGGGGGGUAGAAUUCCAGGUGUAGCGGUGAAAUGCGUAGAGAUCUGGAGGAAUACCGGUGGCGAAGGCGGCCCCCUGGACAAAGACUGACGCUCAGGUGCGAAAGCGUGGGGAGCAAACAGGAUUAGAUACCCUGGUAGUCCACGCCGUAAACGAUGUCGAUUUGGAGGUUGUGCCCUUGAGGCGUGGCUUCCGGAGCUAACGCG